rnacentral:rRNA from 1 species
AGUUUGAUCAUGGCUCAGAUUGAACGCUGGCGGGAUGCUUUACACAUGCAAGUCGAACGGCAGCACGGACUUCGGUCUGGUGGCGAGUGGCGAACGGGUGAGUAAUGUAUCGGAACGUGCCUAGUAGCGGGGAUAACUACGCGAAAGCGUAGCUUUAAUACCGCAUGCGCCCUUCGGGGAAAGCGGGGGACCUUUCGGGCCUCGCACUAUUAGAGCGGCCGAUAUCGGAUUAGCUAGUUGGUGGGUAACGGCUCACCAAGGCGACGAUCCGUAGCUGGUUUGAGAGGACGACCAGCCACACUGGGACUGAGACACGGCCCAGACUCCUACGGAGGCAAGUGGGGAAUUUUGACAAUGGGGGAAACCCUGAUCCAGCCAUCCUGCGUGUGCGAUGAAGCGCCUUCGGGUUGUAAAGCACUUUUGGCAGGAAGAAACGGCACGGGAUAAUACCCUCGCAACUGACGGUACCUGCAGAAUAAGCACCGGCUAACUACGUGCCAGCAGCCGCGGUAAUACGUAGGGUGCAAGCGUUAAUCGGAAUUACUGGGCGUAAAGCGUGCGCAGGCGGUUCGAAAGAAAGAUGUGAAAUCCCAGAGCUGAAUUGAACUGCAUUUUUUAACUACCGAGCUAGAGUGUGUCAGAGGGAGGUGGAAUUCCCGCGUGUAGCAGUGAAAUGCGUAGAUAUGCGGAGGAACACCGAUGGCGAAGGCAGCCUCCUGGGAUAACACUGACGCUCAUGCACGAAAGCGUGGGGAGCAAACAGGAUUAGAUACCCUGGUAGUCCACGCCCUAAACGAUGUCAACUAGCUGUUGGGGCCUUCGGGCCUUGGUAGCGCAGCUAACGCGUGAAGUUGACCGCCUUUGGGGAGUACGGUCGCAAGAUUAAAACUCAAAGGAAUUGAUUUGGGACCUGCACAAGCGGUGGAUGAUGUGGAUUAAUCUGGAUGCAACGCGAAAAACCUUACCUACCCUUGACAUGUCUGGAAUCCCGAAGAGAUUUGGGAGUGCUCGCAAGAGAACCGGAACACAGGUGCUGCAUGGCUGUCGUCAGCUCGUGUCGUGAGAUGUUGGGUUAAGUCCCGCAACGAGCGCAACUCCUUGUCAUUAGUUGCUACGAAAGGGCACUCUAAUGAGACUGCCGGCAGACAACCGGAGGAAGGCAGUGGGGAUGACGUCAAGCUCAUGGCAUUCUUAUGGGUAGGGCUUCACACGUCAUACAAUGGUCGGGACAGAGGGUCGCCAACCCGCGAGGGGGAGCCAAUCCCAGAAAACCCGAUCGUAGUCCGGAUCGCAGUCUGCAACUCGACUGCGUGAAGUCGGAAUCGCUAGUAAUCGCGGAUCAGCAUGUCGCGGUGAAUACGUUCCCGGGUCUUGCGGCCACACCGCCCGUCACACCAUGGGAGUGGGUUUUACCAGAAGUAGUUAGCCUAACCGUAAGGAGGGCGAUUACCACGGUAGGAUUCAUGACUGGGUGAAGUCGUAACAAGGUAG